rnacentral:lncRNA from 1 species
UAUGAAAGUGCAACUAAUCCCCGGGUGGUUUUGGUAAUUAAUAACAACAUAUAUAUCAUUGAACUAAUAGUUACUUGAGAAUCAUUUCAGAAAGUUCAGUGAUAUGGGUAUGGCAAGGACUGAAGAAGUGGACCCCUCAAAAUGCUAAGGCAAGCAUUGGCAAAAGCUCAAGACUCCAUUUUUGGUUUAGUGAUCCAAGAUCACAUUGAGUCCAUAGGAAAGCCAAUACUAUUAAAAGGGGAUGAGGUUAUGAUGAUGAUCUGGUUGCUCAAAGUGCUUAGUGAUACAUCUCCUAAACUAUCAGCAACUUUCACUGCCAUAUACACUCAUAAGUAAUCUCGGUCCCACCGAUAUUCCAAACUCAGUCACACCGAGAUGAACCACCUCAGCCACAAAGCCAAACCCUAGAAAACUCGGAUUUUCCGAUUCCAAAUUCGGUCUCACCGAAACUUGAGUUGCCAAGCUUCUGUAACCUUCUGUCAUCAAAUCGGUGUCACCGAGAUGAUGAAGUCGGUCCCACCGAGAUUGGCAAGCUCUUGUCUUUGCACGAAUCGGACAAACCGAGAUUGUAUUUUCGGUCCCACCGAAAAUCCCAACGUUCACAUUAUUUGAACUUUCGGUCUCACCGAGUUGUCAACUUCGGUCUCACCGAGAUUGGUCAAAUGUGUGUAAUGGUUGGAUUUUGUGUGGAGGCUAUAAAUACCCCUCCACCCCCUCUUCAUUCGUGGAGAGAGCCAUCAGAAAGAACUACCACUCCUACCUUACAUUUCUGAGAAGAGAACUACCUACCCUUGUGUUGAGAUCAAGUUGCUCCACUCCCAUCAUAUGAAGCUUGAUCUCUAGUCUUCCCAAGUUGCUUUCCACUCAAUCCUUUCUUCCACCACAGCCAAAUCAGUGAGGAGAGUUGAGUGUUGGGGAGAUUAUCAUUUGAAGCACAAGAGCAAGGAGUUCAUCAUCAUCAACACCAUCUAUUACCUUUUGGAGGGUGGUGCCUCCUAGAUUGGUUAGGUGUCGCUUGGGAGCCUCCGUCGAGAUGUGGAGUUGAACCAAGAAGUUUGUAAGGGCAAGGAGAUCGCCUACUUCGUGAAGAUCUACCCCGAGUAAGGCUAGUCCUCCGUGGGCGUAGGCCAUGAUGGCAUAGACAAGGUUGCUUCUUCGUGGACCCUUCGUGGGUGGAGCCCUCCAUGGACUCUCGCAGCCGUUACCCUCCGUGGGUUGAAGUCUCCAUCAACGUGGAAGUACGAUAGCACCACCUAUCGGAACCACGAGAAAAAUCUCCGCGUCUCCAAAUUGCGUUUGCUCUUCUCCACCUCUCUUUACUACAUGUGCAAUUUACUUUCCGCUGCCUAUACUCUAGAAUUGCAUGUGUAGGGUGAUGCUUGACUUGAUCAAAAUUGUGAAUCUGCCAAAAACUGUUCUUUGUCAAAAGGCAUAAUCUUUUAUAUUGUCAAGUAGUCUAAUCACCCCCCCCUCUAGACAUACUUCCGAUCCUACAAGUGGUAUCAGAGCUUUGGUCUCCAUUGUAUUGGUUUCCAUUGCAUUGGACUCCAUAAGCUUGGUUUCACAACCUAGGAGAGUAUGGCGUCUAGUGAGGGUAAUUUUCGUAGAGGUCCUUACUUUGAUGGUACAAAUUUUGCUAGUUGGAAGCAUAAAAUGAAAAUGCAUAUUCUUGGCCAUAACCCAGCCGCAUGGGGCAUUAUUUGUGUUGGUAUGCAAGGUGAAUUCUUCGAGGAAGGAAAAGUUCCAGAUCGCGAAGCUACAACGGAAGAAUUGCGGAUGUUGCAAAACAAUGCUCAAGCUUGUGACAUUCUCUUCAAUGCCUUGUGUCCCGAGGAGUUCAACAAAAUCAGCCGUCUUGAGAAUGCAAAAGAGAUUUGGGAUACUUUGGUUGAGAUGCACGAAGGUACCGAGUCCGUGAAGGAAUCAAAGCUAGAUGUUCUUCAAGGUCAACUUGACAAGUUCAAGACGAAGGAAGGUGAAGGAGUCGCUGAAAUGUACUCUAGGCUUGCUCUCAUCACAAAUGAGAUUGCCGGCUUAGGAAGCGAAGAAAUGACCGACCGAUUUAUCAUCAAGAAGAUUCUCAGAGCUUUGGAUGGAAAGUAUGACACCGUGUGCACCUUGAUCCAAAUGAUGCCAAACUACAAGAAUCUCAAGCCAACCAAAGUCAUUGGAAGAAUUGUUGCCCAUGAGAUGACACUUAAGGAUAAGGAAGAGCUUCACAACAAGUCAAGUGGUGCUUACAAAGCUACAAGUGAUGCUCCCACAACCUCAAGUGACAAGCUAGUUUCCAAUGAAGAGAUAAGCCUAAUGGUCAAGAACUUCAACAAAUUCUACAAGAGUAGAAGCAAAGAGAGAAGCUCAAAGUCUAGAUCAUAUGAUGAAAAGAGAUCUUCUAGUCGUGAUCGAAACUGCUACAAUUGUGGAAGACCCGGACACUACUCAAAUGAGUGUUCGGCUCCCCACAAGAGAAGAGAAGAAUCUCCAAGAAGAAGAAGCUCAAGAGAUGAGUCACCUCGGAAAGAGAGAAGGAGUAGAGAUGAUCGUUAUGAACGAAGACCCUCUCGGAGAAGCAAGGAUUCGGAGAGGAAAGACAAGUCAUCAAGGAGCUACACAAGAAGAAAACAUCAAGCUCAUGUAGGUGAAUGGGUCUCCGGCUCCGACUCCGACAAUCAAUCCGAAGGAAGCUAUCACUCCAACUCCGACUACAGUCAAGAUGAAGGUGUUGCCGGUCUUGCUCUCGUAUCCUCCAACUCCAACUCCUAUGACUUAUUUGAUUCACCAAAUGAGGGAAUUGGAAGAUGCUUCAUGACUAAAGGCCCCAAGGUAUCACACCCUGAAUUCAUUGACUUUGAUAGUGAUGAGGAUGACUUGCUUGGUGAAGAUGAGCUCUUACAUGAUAAAUCCAAUGAACCUAGUAACGAUGAACAUGCUAGUAGUCUUUAUAGUCGAGAAGAGUCGAAUGACAAUGCUAUGAAGGAGAUUGAGCGUCUAACUAAAGAACUAAACACUCUUAAGUUAGCUCAUGAAACAACUCAAGAAGAUCAUAGAGAGCUCCUAAGAUCUCAUGAGAAGCUACGCUUCGAGAAGCUCACUCUAGAGCAAGAACAUGAGUUUCUAAAAGCAAUCAAUGACGAUCUUCGAAAGAAGAGUUCUUCAUAUCUUGCCAAACGACUUCUCUUGUCUAAUUUCUUGCCACCUAUUAAAACUAAGCAUGACAAGCAUAAGAAAAGUUCUUUCUCUAGUAGUAACAAUAACCAUGCUAAAUCCAAUAUUGUUGCUUCUAGUAGUUCUCUUGAUUCCACUAACAAUGUUUCAAGCCAAGUUACACUUGAGCAAGAAAAUAGUUUAUUGAAAGGGAUUAUAGAGAAAGGUGUCUACAAGAGCCUUGCCGGAAGCAAGAACUUUGAGGAAAUUGUUCGCAAGCAAGGAAGGCACCGGAAGAAUCAAGGAAUUGGUUUUGAGCGAAAGUUCAACGCCGAAGGUGUUGAAUGGGAAGAAGGUCAAUAUCCUACUCCACAGUUUAUUCCUCAAAAGGAGAAGUAUGAUCCUACUUCUUCCAAUGUGGAACAAGCUCAAGAUGACCUUCCACCACAAGACCACAAGCUAAAAGGCAAGGACAAGCUUCAAGAGGAGAUUGAUGCAUUUGUUGAAGCACCUCAAGCCAUGGUCAAGUGGGUUCCCAAGGAAACGUCAAGUUCUACUUCGUCAAGCUCAACUACAACCCCAAGGAUUCCCAUCAAGAUGAUGUGGAUCCCGACGAAGAAGAACUAGAAAGUUCUUGAGGGUGACUCCGCCAACAUACUUCACUCACAUUCAUUUUGGCAAAAACUUGUGCAAUCAACUUCCACAUCUUGCACUAGUUCAUGGAGUCACAAACCCUCUUGUUGGUAAGUCAAGGGACAAGGUAAUCAUUGCUUUCAUGGACAUCAUCUAUUGUGUACUUCAAUCUAUGUCCAUGGAUAUCCUUGUUUGUUCCUUGUGGGACUAACCCAUGUAGGUAUUGAAAGUGCCCGAAUCCAAAGGAUAGCUCCAAACUCUUGAUGAUCUUCAUCAACAUUGAGCAUCCACAUCUUCAACAUCUACAUGAAGUCUUCUACGACAACCCAAGGUUAGUUUGACCCUUUAAAAGGGGUUCUCACAUCUAGGGGGAGCUUUGCUCUAAAAAUUGAGCUAAAGCAUCUUCAAAUGAUGUGAACACAUCAAUGCUUUAUGUAAAAGUGGUAACCCCACUUGUGCUUAAACGAUGAGUAUGACCUAUGAUCAAAUGUUCUCAUUUGGCUCCUAAGUCAAUAUACUCAUAUAAAGAUGACCUAGUCAUCGACAAAUUGUGUGAUAGUAGGUAGAGUUUUGAUUGUGCAUGUUUGACACAUAUUUCAUUUGCUAUCUUAUUGUGUGAGCAUGUUGGAUGCAUGAUUUUAUCCAUUCAAGGACAUCCAUUUGUUGUUUUGGUCGUUUUGAUUUUUCUGACCAAAUGGAUGGACAAGAAUGCCUAAGUACCUCCCCUAGCUAUCUAUGCUUUCUUGUCUCAAAUUCUAUUCAUGCUUACAUCACAAAUUUUGAACAAGUCAUUUUCGGACCCUCCGAGUGAGGAGCACUCGGAGCCACCGAUCCGUCAAGGGCUAACUUCCAAAACCUUCUAAGUGAUUUCGGUCAGACCAACUCACUCAAACUCGGUCGAACCGAAAGCAUUUGGACGGAUCUAGGUUUUCACCUCGGCGAAACCGAGUUGUGAUUUUCGGCGUGACCGAAGUGCAUAACUGCCCUGCAGUUAUCCAUCUCGGUGCCACUGAGUUUUACAACUCGGUCCCACCGACAGCAAAGGGGUAUAUAUACUCCGAGGGCCGCGCGUUGAUUUCUCCUUCAAACGCUUCGCCCCCACACCCCUUGCUGCCGUCGCCCUGGUCUCCGGAUCGUCUCCGUCGUCGCCUGUGCGCCCUCGCCGCAGGUCUCCGUCGCCGUCAACGGACAUCUUCUCCGCGCCGUUGCCGCCGUAGAGAAACUCCACCAAGUUAGGGUGAGUUUUGAUCCCACUCGUGCUCCCAUCUCCGAUUCAAUGCACGUUUGGUUUGCCUAGAAUCUUGCCACGAUUGAAAUCUUCCUGUACACCAGAUUAGUUCAUUUGGACUAGAUUCGAGUAAAAGUUUUAGGGUUAGGUUUCCGCUGAACACAUCUCGGUGAGACCGAUUUUACAUUUUCGGUAUGACCGAUUUGGCCUAUGGCCAUUGCACUGCACCCUUCGGUCCAACCGAGUUGUGCAAAUCGGUGUGACCGAAAUGAGGAUUCUGUGAAACCCUAGUGUUUUCGGAAGGACCGAAACCCACUUCGGUCCAACUGAAAGUGGUGUGAAAGCUUCUGUUUGAACACUUCGGAUUCACCGAAUUUUAGACUCGGUCUGACCGAAAUGUCUUCUGUGACAACCUAAUACUAGAAUUUGAACUCAUUUUUUUUGAAAAAAAAACUUCUGCAUUUGUGAUGACUCUUCUUCUCUGCCUAUACCUUAUCUAUUCACAGGUUGUCAGCCAUGUCAGAUGCCAGUGACAGUCAGAACAGGUCAGAGACACCCAUUGCAGAUAUUCCAGAGGCAGGCACUAGUCCUGAUCCUAGCAGCUCAUCAGAUGAUGGUGAGAGGAGUACACCAAGUGGUUUACCUCCUGCAGCCACCAGAGCCAGAAAGAAGAGGAACUCAGAUGAUGAAGACUCAGAUUUUGUUGUUGAAGAGGUCACCUCAAAGCCCAAGAGGAAGGUUGUUGCCAAAGAGCCACAAGGUCAACAAACCAAGAAGGGCACCAGAAAAGUCAAGCAGUCAACUGUUGCCAAGAAGCUGACUUUGGAAGAGGAAACUACAAGCAAAGUUAAGAAAACUUCCAAGAGAAAGAGGUUAGUGCAUGAUGAUGCAGCAGAAGAAGAUGAGGAUGAGGAAGCACCCCAGCCUCCUCCUCAGAAGUCUAAGUUCAUGGGUGAUGCCAUUAAGGCUGGAGCCACUUCAAAGCCCAAGCAAUCUGCUCCAGCUAAGGCAGCUCCAGCAAAGCCUGCUGCCAAGCCCAAGAAGACAGUCAGAAACAUUCCAGCGUCUGAAAAGAACAAAGAUGAUGUGCCACCAGCUGUGUCAGAUGAUGAAGCACCAGUUUUGCUGAAACUUCGUCAAAAACUGCCACUACAUAAUGAUGCUCAUCCUCAAGCUGAGGAUAUGAAGGCAAGGAAGGAUAGAGGUCUCAGGCUAUGGAGACAAGCUGACCCAUAUGCCGUGAGGAGAAGAACUGCUGUUGAUCCCAGAUUUCACACCAGAGAGCAGCAGGACUUCUAUGAGACCGUGCUGAUGGAUAAGAAGCCCAUAGUCACAGACACAAGAUAUGUUGACUAGAAGUACAUUGAUAGCGAAGAGCACAGAGACUACUUUCCACAUGUGCAUGAAAGCUUCACUGCAUGUGGUGUUGCAGACUUUGUGGGUCAGAAGUUGACUAGUUGGAAUGAUGAGAUGAUUAUGCAAUUCUAUGCCACAGCUCACUUCUACCCAGAUGGAAGGAUUGUAUGGAUGACUGAAGGCCAAAGAUUUUCUUCAACUAUUGAAGAAUGGGCAGAACUUCUGAAUGCUCUAGUGCAAAGAGAAUAUGAUAUUGAUGUAUAUGGGAUUCCAAAGAAGAAUCAUGAAUCCAUGAAGAACAUGUACAAAGAAGUUCCAGCUAAGGAUUUGGGAAUCUGGAAGCUCGGCUUAGUUUACUAUCUCCAGGCAGGUCUACCUACCACAAACACUAUUUUGAGGCAUACCUUGAUGCCCAAGUCUAGAGAUCAUCGCAUGAUCAGAGGAUACUCUAUCAACAUGCUGCAUAUACUUGAUGAGAAAGCACCUUUCAAGGUGAUGGACUUGAUGGUUGAGACCAUUAAGAGGACUGCAGCUGACCAGAAAAGGUCGUGUGGAUUCGCCCCGCAGAUUCAGAUGCUUAUCAAUGCCAAGUUUGGCACGGGCACAUUCUUGUUGGAUAGAGAACACUUACCACUGCAGCCUGAGCAUGAGGACAAUGUUGUUGUGAUGGAUGAGGAGGAUCCAACAUCGGUUGAAGGUCAAGCCAAGAUUGAAGCUGCCAAGAAAGCCAAAGCUGACAAGGAAGCAGCAGCAGCAGCAGCUAAACCAAAGAGUGUCGGAGAGCAGCUUCUUGAAGCUACCCAAAGGAUUGAACAACGCCUGGCCAGCAUCGUACAGUCUCAGGAGAGCCUAGAGAGGAUUGUUGAAGACAAGAUCCACGCUCUGGAUGUGAAGCUGACUGAAGUGCAAGUGACUGUCAACAAGCUUGAGGCAGACAUUGAGGAAGCAAAGAGGGAGAAGGAAGAGCUUAUGCGUGAGAUGCAGGAUGACUUAGUCCAGGAUGCUUAUCAACAGACUGCUCCGGUUCCCACAGGACCCCGAUCAGCUGCUAUUCCAGUGACUGACACCAGGACUACAGCUUCAGCACCUCCCACAGUUCCAUCAGUUGCUACAACUCCAGCUCAAGUGACCACUCCUCCAGCACAGACAUCAGCUGAAGUCUUCGCCGAUGCUGUCAUAUCAACUCCAACAUCAACCCAGACGGGAGCCGCCAGCAGAGUCCCCAGUGACGCUUAGCUCUAUGCGGUUUCGAACUUUUUGGUAACUUGUUGCCAAAGGGGGAGAAAUUGUAUAGAUCAUAGGACUUCGAGAGAGAGAGUGCUGUUGUCUUCGCGCUUUUGCUCUUUCGUUCUUUUGCGGUUUCUUUGAGAUACUUUUGGUUUUCGAGCCAUUCAGUGUGUUUGAUACUACGUUUCAUUCUACUUUAAUGAGUGCUUGGUCGUAUUAUGCUUUAAUGUGUGCUUAAUGCUUAUCAUAUGCUAUUCCUAUCUUGUAUGACCAUUUACUCAUGUCUUGGUGAUUGGGUGCAUGCUAUUCAUUCUUAUCAUUUUGUGCGCUCCACCAAGAUGUAUGUGACAUGGAAGAGUGACCCAUGAUCCUAAUCGAUUGUGCAUUUGCAUUCAAACGCAAAUCUUAAAUAAUGCACAAAUUUAGGGGGAGCUCUUGCUUAUCACAUACUUCUCAAAGCGACGAUAUUAUUCAUUGAUUAUAUCCUUUGUCGAAGCUUUGAUCUAUAUGUUGUCAUCAAUUACCAAAAAGGGGGAGAUUGAAAGUGCAACUAAUCCCCGGGUGGUUUUGGUAAUUAAUAACAACAUAUAUAUCAUUGAACUAAUAGUUACUUGAGAAUCAUUUCAGAAAGUUCAGUGAUAUGGGUAUGGCAAGGACUGAAGAAGUGGACCCCUCAAAAUGCUAAGGCAAGCAUUGGCAAAAGCUCAAGACUCCAUUUUUGGUUUAGUGAUCCAAGAUCACAUUGAGUCCAUAGGAAAGCCAAUACUAUUAAAAGGGGAUGAGGUUAUGAUGAUGAUCUGGUUGCUCAAAGUGCUUAGUGAUACAUCUCCUAAACUAUCAGCAACUUUCACUGCCAUAUACACUCAUAAGUAAUCUCGGUCCCACCAAUAUUCCAAACUCAGUCACACCGAGAUGAACCACCUCAGCCACAAAGCCAAACCCUAGAAAACUCAGAUUUUCCGAUUCCAAACUCGGUCUCACCGAAACUUGAGUUGCCAAGCUUCUGUAACCUUCUGUCAUCAAAUCGGUGUCACCGAGAUGAUGAAGUCGGUCCCACCGAGAUUGGCAAGCUCUUGUCUUUGCACGAAUCGGACAAACCGAGAUUGUAUUUUCGGUCCCACCGAAAAUCCCAACGUUCACAUUAUUUGAACUUUCGGUCUCACCGAGUUGUCAACUUCGGUCUCACCGAGAUUGGUCAAAUGUGUGUAACGGUUGGAUUUUGUGUGGAGGCUAUAAAUACCCCUCCACCCCCUCUUCAUUCGUGGAGAGAGCCAUCAGAAAGAACUACCACUCCUACCUUACAUUUCUGAGAAGAGAACUACCUACCCUUGUGUUGAGAUCAAGUUGCUCCACUCCCAUCAUACGAAUCUUGAUCUCUAGCCUUCCCAAGUUGCUCUCCACUCAAUCCUUUCUUCCACCACAGCCAAAUCAGUGAGGAGAGUUGAGUGUUGGGGAGAUUAUCAUUUGAAGCACAAGAGCAAGGAGUUCAUCAUCAUCAACACCAUCUAUUACCUUUUGGAGGGUGGUGCCUCCUAGAUUGGUUAGGUGUCGCUUGGGAGCCUCCGUCGAGAUGUGGAGUUGAACCAAGAAGUUUGUAAGGGCAAGGAGAUCGCCUACUUCGUUAAGAUCUACCCCGAGUAAGGCUAGUCCUCCGUGGGCGUAGGCCAUGAUGGCAUAGACAAGGUUGCUUCUUCGUGGACCCUUCGUGGGUGGAGCCCUCCGUGGACUCUCGCAGCCGUUACCCUCCGUGGGUUGAAGUCUCCAUCAACGUGGAAGUACGAUAGCACCACCUAUCGGAACCACGAGAAAAAUCUCCGCGUCUCCAAAUUGCGUUUGCUCUUCUCCACCUCUCUUUACUACAUGUGCAAUUUACUUUCCGCUGCCUAUACUCUAGAAUUGCAUGUGUAGGGUGAUGCUUGACUUGAUCAAAAUUGUGAAUCUGCCAAAAACUGUUCUUUGUCAAAAGGCAUAAUCUUUUAUAUUGUCAAGUAGUCUAAUCACCCCCCCUCUAGACAUACUUCCGAUCCUACA